rnacentral:miRNA from 1 species
GCUGGCCAAAAAGUUCGUUUGGGUUUUUCCAUACCAUGUUAUGGAAAAACCCAAACAAACUUUUUGGACAACC